GGCUUUUCCUUAAUGCCUCCUUAUGAUCUAACAUAUUCGCUUAUCCAACGUUCUGCCGGCCCGUUUAUGUUGGAUAAGUGAGACUCUACUGUAUUUCUUAAUUAGUCGCUCUCCACCAGAGUGCUCCAAGCGACUUACAAUUUAAAAUAUCAUUCCACAAUAUAAAAAACAUUCAUCAUAAAAACAUUCAACCUAAAAACAUUCAACAGUGACUAUUAACUGUGAUUCUUUUGUGCUGUUUGUGUUUAAUUACCGUAUGUUUUAAUGUUUACAUAUUGGUAUAUUUUAAGUUGUAUACUAAUGCUUUUAUGUCAAGCCGCUUUGAGUCCCCUUUGGGAAGAUAGAUACAGUGGGGUAUAACAACAACAACACAGCUGUAAGCAGUUUUGGUUCUUGGUCAAUGGACUGAGCAAUUCAAGUCCAACCUUCACCCCAUCCAUCUCUCCAUUAAACUGAUGAAAUCAUUUUUCCAAUCUCUUUUGGGCUGAUGAGUUAGAAACCCAGAGCUCAGUGAUAGAUUCUCCUGAAUUAACCAACUGGCCCCCUGUUUCAGUUGCAGGCCUGAUAGUUGGUAUAAAAAUGGAAAGGCGGAUGGGUCAGAUUUAAUUAUCCCAGAGAUUUUGAAAUCAGACCCUGAUCUUGGUGGCAGUCUUCACCAUCAUUAACAACACAGGCAUCCUACAAAACAGUUGACGAUUUGCCGUUAUAGUUCCAAUCUACAAAAAGGGUGACCCUCCCGAUCCUUCCAAUUACCGGCCAAUUAGCCUUCUAUCGGUAAUUGGAAAGCUUUGUGCAAAAUUCUUAUUAAUAAAGGUGCAAACCUGGCUGGACCGGAACAAAACCAUCAGCCCUGAGCAAACUGGAUUCCGUAAGGAUAACUCAACCUUGGAUCACUGCUUAGUACUUUCUCAAAUAUUCCACGUGUUACUGCAUUACUCCCAGUUUUUGAUCUCUGUUACCCUGACAUCCAUUGCUUAAACUACUAAAAAGAAUUCCCCCCAAAAGUUGAUCUAUCUUCCCUGUUAUUGUCCAUUAUUUUCAAACCCAAUAGUCCUGCCUUCCUUCUUCAAUCAUCUCCUUGUAUUUGAUCUUUGUUCAAUUGCUUGUCUUUUCUUUUUAGUAUUUAUACCCCGUCCUUCUCGCUUCAAAGGGGACUCAGAGCGGCUUUACCAAACACACACACGGCAAACGUCCAAUUCCUGAUUCUACAAUUAACAAGGACACACAACACAGACAGAGACCCAUAACCCGGACCCUUCCCUCGGCAGAGAGGGCCGUCCUGCGGAAAGAAGGGCGUCUGCAGGGAGGGAUUGGCGGAGGCCGUGCAGAAGAAGCUCCAGGCCGAAGUGGAGAAGGACCAGCAGGUGCCAAAAGGUAACUUCUGAACAAUUUCUGCGAAGAACAUCUUGUGAGAGCUUUGCCCGAGGAGUGCUCUAAGUCUAAAGUAACUUCAAGAUGCACAGCAAUGACAAGAAGAAGAAAUAAGUAGUAGAAAAAUACAUUUCAAGCUACAUACCUGUACAAUUAAGAAGGGAAAAUAAGAUUGUGCUGUAAAAAGAGAAGCUUCCUGAAAGUGAGAAGAAGGCUACAGCAAUACAUAGACUGUGCUGUUCGAGAGGUUAUAUCUGUGAACCCCUGGCAUGAUAUUUGAAUUAUAAAUAUAAAAGAAUGGCAAGUCCUCUACCUCCCUAUCCUAGAACACACACAGGGGAGAAGUUACAUCAAUGUAUGGAAUGUGGGAAACAAUUUGAUUGGAAAAGUUCUCUUACUGUACAUGAACGGACCCACACAGGGGAGAAGCCCUAUAAAUGCAUGGAAUGUGGAGAAAGCUUCAGUCACAGUGGCAAUCUACGUUCCCAUCAAAGGACCCACACAGGGGAGAAGCCCUAUAAAUGCAUGGAAUGUGGAGAAAGCUUCAGUCACAGUGGACAUCUACGUUCCCAUCAAAGGACCCACACAGGGGAGAAGCCCUAUAAAUGCAAGGAAUGUGGAGAAAGCUUCAGUCGCAAUGGUAAUCUACAUUCCCAUCAAAGGACCCACACAGGGGAGAAGCCAUAUAAAUGCAUGGAAUGUGGAAAGAGCUUCAGUCAGAGUUAUAGUCUGCGUAUCCAUCAAAGGAUCCACACAGGGGAGAAGCCAUAUAAAUGCAUGGAAUGUGGAGAAAGCUUCAGUCGGAGUGGCAGUCUACGUUCCCAUCAAAGGACCCACACAGGGGAGAAGCCAAAUAAAUGCAUAGAAUGUGGAGAAAGCUUCAGUCACAGUGGCAGUCUACGUUCCCAUCAAAGGACCCACACAGGGGAGAAGCCAUAUAAAUGCAUGGAAUGUGGAGAAAGCUUCAGUCACAGUGGCAGUCUACGUUCCCAUGAAAGGACCCACACAGGGGAGAAGCCAUAUAAAUGCAUGGAAUGUGGAGAAAGCUUCAGUGACAGUGGCAGUCUACGUUCCCAUCAAAGGACCCACACAGGGGAGAAGCCAUAUAAAUGCAUAGAAUGUGGAGAAAGCUUCAGUCACAGUGGCAGUCUACGUUCCCAUCAAAGGACCCACACAGGGGAGAAGCCAUAUAAAUGCAUGGAAUGUGGAGAAAGCUUCAGUGACAGUGGCAAUCUACGUUCCCAUCAGAGGACCCACACAGGGGAGAAGCCAUAUAAAUGCUUGGAAUGUGAAAAGAGCUUCAGUCAGAGUGGCAGUCUACAUUCCCAUCAAAGGAUCCACACAGGGGAGAAGCCACAUAAAUGCUUGGAAUGUGGAAAGAGCUUCCGUCAUUGUAGCAAUCUGCGUACCCAUCAAAGGAUCCACACAGGGGAGAAGCCACAUAAAUGCAUGGAAUGUGGAAAGAGCUUCUGUCAGAGUGGCCAUCUACGUUCUCAUCAAAGAAUCCACACAGGGGAGAAGCCCUAUAAAUGCAUGGAAUGUGGAGAAAGCUUCAGUCGCAGUGAUAAUCUACGUUCCCAUCAAAGGACCCACACGGGAGAAAUCACCUUAAUGCACGGAAUAUGAAAAGUGCUUUAGAGAAAGUUCAGCAUACAUUAGACAUCACAGAACUCAUGCUCUGCUAGAGGAGAUGAGCCUUUGAGUUUCCGUGCUAUCUUUAAAAAGCAUUGGAAGGAAAGAUGAAAGCCAGCACCUUGCUCUCUCUCCUCCAGAACUGCAGUUUGUGUGGCCUUGGUUGACGGCUACUGGGAGCAGGUGUCACUCAGAGGGGCUCUUUUCUCAGGAUUUCAGCAAGCUUGGAAGGGGUUCACCUAACCUCCUCCCCAAGGAGACCCAUCGCAGGCUUCUAGGAUGAUAUGUGAAGGUUUGCUGAAAUGAGCAGCAGCUGAGAUCUCUGGAUAAAAGGGUUGUGAAAAAGAAUAGCUCUUUGGUUGCAGAUAACGUCUUAUCUUCAUAUGUCUUGGGUCUUCUGCAUUCAAUUGCAUGUUUGCCGUGCAGGUGCAUGUGUACUGUAUGUACUGUGAUCCGUCCUUAGUCCCUUUGGGGGGAUAGGGCAGAAUAUAAAUGAAGUGUUAUUAUUAUUACUGCCCCUUGGUUGAAAUUUUGGGCACUAGUCCUAUACCUUUAACCCUUGUCUGGACUUUGUUGUAUCCUGAAUCAUUGACUCUAAAUUCUGGACUGACGUUUUGGUUUGGACUUGGACUUUGUUUGUAUCCCUGGCUUUCUAGCUUGACUUUGGGACUCUGUUUGUACUCUUGAUUUCUUGGUUGUUAUUUGAUCAAUUAUGCUGAAUGAACUCCUGGCAUGUGACUAGUGGACUGUAACCUUGGCUCCUGACCUGGAUCUGCAGUACUCAACUUGUCUGCAUUAAUUGGACUCUUGACCUGCACUUGUGUUCAUUGUUCCUUCGACUGUGUUGCUGCAAUUGUAUUAUUUUUGCUCAGUGGUUCCCAACCUUUUCUUAACUGAGGAUCACUUGACCAGAGACCACUCUCCAAAAUUAGUGCCAAAAGGGUUACAAAUCAGAUUUUGGUCAGCUUUAGAUUUGGUUUGGUUAUUUGGGGUGCUGAUUCAGAAAACUGCAUUGGAGAGACCACAUCAGCUCUAUUUCUUGAUACAGAACAUAUGCCACCCAGUAGUCGCCAUCUGCUCGCCCACAGAAAACCAUAUUUAAUAAGCCUCAGCACUAUUAAGAGGGUUUCGCGAGACCAGUCACUCUCAUUGCAACCUUGUAGUAAUGGUGAGGCUGUGGACCCUAUUUGAGUUAUUGCGGACCACAGCUAGUCCACAGACCACAGUUUGGGAACUGCUGUUUUCGCCGGAUUGAAGACUUUAAUUUUCCUAUAACUAGCGUUGCUGUGGCUAGGGCUUAAUUUUUCUUUUCUUUUUGUUGUAUGAAUGUAGAGGCAUGGAUGAGAGGUUGUGCUGUCAAUUUUUGAGGUUGUGGGGCGUUUAGUUUAGUUGUUUUGUCCGGUGCCGUGAUUCCAUUACCCUUUUAUAUAUAGAGAGAUAUGGUCCUGACUUAUCUUGAGUUUGUUUAUUAAACCUCAGACUUUAUACCGAGAGAGCCCCGGAAUAUGAGACCAUUUCUCUUGCUUUGUGUGUACUUAUCCCUAUGUAGAGUGAACCCAUUUGCAUAUUUGGGACUGUUUAAUCACCACCUUUGGCAAAGGGUCCAUUAGGAUACACAGCAUAUCUCCCCAAGUGCAGGGAAUGGAAGACAAAGAAUGAUGACAAAGACUGAUGAAGAUUCAUGAAUCCGUUGAAAUGGACUUAUUAACUAAAUUGAAGAAGUAGAGUAUAGAAUAGCAUUGAAAGGAAAUAGAGAUCCAAAUCAUAUAGUUAGAGUUUUGUAGACUAGUGUUUGUAGUCCGUUAGUUUGGUUCUUGUGCAAAAUAUGUGUCCUACUUCACUUUAAAUUUGUUUAGCAGUACCUUAAAAUGUACCAAAAUUAUAAUUUGUGUAAAAAAAAUUAAAUACCAAAAUUAUAAUUUGCAUCAACAUGCUUUGUUUUGUUUCUGUUUUUGUUUUUUGUCUUUGAAUAAAAAUUGUUUAUUUUA